GCCACAGUAGCUCAACCUGGGAGAGCAAUCGGCUGAAGAACCCAACAAAAGUGGUUCAGUCACCGAUUUGUUGCUGGUUCAAAUCCGGCCUGUGGCAC
rnacentral:tRNA from 1 species